GGGUUGUGAGGUUAAGCGACUAAGCGUACACGGUGGAUGCCCUGGCAGUCAGAGGCGAUGAAGGACGUGCUAAUCUGCGAUAAGCGCCGGUAAGGUGAUAUGAACCGUUAUAACCGGCGAUUUCCGAAUGGGGAAACCCAGUGUGAUUCGUCACACUAUCAUUAACUGAAUCCAUAGGUUAAUGAGGCGAACCGGGGGAACUGAAACAUCUAAGUACCCCGAGGAAAAGAAAUCAACCGAGAUUCCCCCAGUAGCGGCGAGCGAACGGGGAGGAGCCCAGAGCCUGAAUCAGCAUGUGUGUUAGUGGAAGCGUCUGGAAAGGUGCGCGAUACAGGGUGACAGCCCCGUACACAAAAGCGCAUGUGCUGUGAGCUCGAUGAGUAGGGCGGGACACGUGGUAUCCUGUCUGAAUAUGGGGGGACCAUCCUCCAAGGCUAAAUACUCCUGACUGACCGAUAGUGAACCAGUACCGUGAGGGAAAGGCGAAAAGAACCCCGGCGAGGGGAGUGAAAAAGAACCUGAAACCGUGUACGUACAAGCAGUGGGAGCACAGGUUUACCUGUGUGACUGCGUACCUUUUGUAUAAUGGGUCAGCGACUUAUAUUCUGUAGCAAGGUUAACCGUAUAGGGGAGCCGUAGGGAAACCGAGUCUUAACCGGGCGUUAAGUUGCAGGGUAUAGACCCGAAACCCGGUGAUCUAGCCAUGGGCAGGUUGAAGGUUGGGUAACACUAACUGGAGGACCGAACCGACUAAUGUUGAAAAAUUAGCGGAUGACCUGUGGCUGGGGGUGAAAGGCCAAUCAAACCGGGAGAUAGCUGGUUCUCCCCGAAAGCUAUUUAGGUAGCGCCUCGUGAAUUCAUCUCCGGGGGUAGAGCACUGUUUCGGCUAGGGGGCCAUCCCGGCUUACCAACCCGAUGCAAACUGCGAAUACCGGAGAAUGUUAUCACGGGAGACACACGGCGGGUGCUAACGUCCGUCGUGAAGAGGGAAACAACCCAGACCGCCAGCUAAGGUCCCAAAGUCAUGGUUAAGUGGGAAACGAUGUGGGAAGGCCCAGACAGCCAGGAUGUUGGCUUAGAAGCAGCCAUCAUUUAAAGAAAGCGUAAUAGCUCACUGGUCGAGUCGGCCUGCGCGGAAGAUGUAACGGGGCUAAACCAUGCACCGAAGCUGCGGCAGCGAACGUAUCACCCAAGACAACUUUACGGAGUUGACGAUUGACGGAGCGAAGCGACGUCAAAGCGUUCAUUAAAGUCGAGUUGGCUUAGGGAUACGUUCGUUGGGUAGGGGAGCGUUCUGUAAGCCUGUGAAGGUGUGUCGUGAGGCAUGCUGGAGGUAUCAGAAGUGCGAAUGCUGACAUAAGUAACGAUAAAGCGGGUGAAAAGCCCGCUCGCCGGAAGACCAAGGGUUCCUGUCCAACGUUAAUCGGGGCAGGGUGAGUCGACCCCUAAGGCGAGGCCGAAAGGCGUAGUCGAUGGGAAACGGGUUAAUAUUCCCGUACUUGGUGUUACUGCGAAGGGGGGACGGAGAAGGCUAUGUUGGCCGGGCGACGGUUGUCCCGGUUUAAGCGUGUAGGUGUGUGUUCCAGGUAAAUCCGGUUCACUUUAACACUGAGGCGUGACGACGAGGCACUACGGUGCUGAAGCAACAAAUGCCCUGCUUCCAGGAAAAGCCUCUAAGCAUCAGGUAACAUCAAAUCGUACCCCAAACCGACACAGGUGGUCAGGUAGAGAAUACCAAGGCGCUUGAGAGAACUCGGGUGAAGGAACUAGGCAAAAUGGUGCCGUAACUUCGGGAGAAGGCACGCUGACACGUAGGUGAAGUGAUUUACUCACGGAGCUGAAGUCAGUCGAAGAUACCAGCUGGCUGCAACUGUUUAUUAAAAACACAGCACUGUGCAAACACGAAAGUGGACGUAUACGGUGUGACGCCUGCCCGGUGCCGGAAGGUUAAUUGAUGGGGUCAGCGCAAGCGAAGCUCCUGAUCGAAGCCCCGGUAAACGGCGGCCGUAACUAUAACGGUCCUAAGGUAGCGAAAUUCCUUGUCGGGUAAGUUCCGACCUGCACGAAUGGCGUAAUGAUGGCCAGGCUGUCUCCACCCGAGACUCAGUGAAAUUGAACUCGCUGUGAAGAUGCAGUGUACCCGCGGCAAGACGGAAAGACCCCGUGAACCUUUACUAUAGCUUGACACUGAACAUUGAGCCUUGAUGUGUAGGAUAGGUGGGAGGCUUUGAAGUGUGGACGCCAGUCUGCAUGGAGCCGACCUUGAAAUACCACCCUUUAAUGUUUGAUGUUCUAACGUGGACCCGUAAUCCGGGUUGCGGACAGUGUCUGGUGGGUAGUUUGACUGGGGCGGUCUCCUCCUAAAGAGUAACGGAGGAGCACGAAGGUUGGCUAAUCCUGGUCGGACAUCAGGAGGUUAGUGCAAUGGCAUAAGCCAGCUUGACUGCGAGCGUGACGGCGCGAGCAGGUGCGAAAGCAGGUCAUAGUGAUCCGGUGGUUCUGAAUGGAAGGGCCAUCGCUCAACGGAUAAAAGGUACUCCGGGGAUAACAGGCUGAUACCGCCCAAGAGUUCAUAUCGACGGCGGUGUUUGGCACCUCGAUGUCGGCUCAUCACAUCCUGGGGCUGAAGUAGGUCCCAAGGGUAUGGCUGUUCGCCAUUUAAAGUGGUACGCGAGCUGGGUUUAGAACGUCGUGAGACAGUUCGGUCCCUAUCUGCCGUGGGCGCUGGAGAACUGAGGGGGGCUGCUCCUAGUACGAGAGGACCGGAGUGGACGCAUCACUGGUGUUCGGGUUGUCAUGCCAAUGGCACUGCCCGGUAGCUAAAUGCGGAAGAGAUAAGUGCUGAAAGCAUCUAAGCACGAAACUUGCCCCGAGAUGAGUUCUCCCUGAGACUUAGAGUCUCCUGAAGGAACGUUGAAGACGACGACGUUGAUAGGCCGGGUGUGUAAGCGCAGCGAUGCGUUGAGCUAACCGGUACUAAUGAACCGUGAGGCUUAACCUUACAACGCCGAAG
rnacentral:rRNA from 3 species